ACUGCUGCACUCUACAAAGCUUUUCAAUAUCUAUCAACAUCAGGUCAAUGCAAUGUACAGUAUAUGAUGUCCAGUAAAUAUGCGAUCGCUGCUCCAUCAGCAAUCAUUAGCGGCUUUAUAUUGCAGUCCAUUAUCUAUGAUGAUCUGUAUGAUAUUCUGCUUUCCAACUGAAUCAAUCACCUCCUCCAUCAGUCCAAGAAUGUAUGUGGCGUUGUACAUCCUAUCUGAAGCAUCAAUUGAUUUGUGAAAAAUAUUUUUUCAUCAUAAUAUGUCAAAAAAUUUAUGAUACUCUAUCUAGUAGGAUCGAUCCAAUCAUCACACA
rnacentral:lncRNA from 1 species